rnacentral:rRNA from 1 species
GCCUACGGGAGGCAGCAGUGAGGAAUAUUGGUCAAUGGCCGGAAGGCUGAACCAGCCAAGCCGCGUGAAGGACGAAGGUGCCAAGCAUUGUAAACUUCUUUUGUCAAGGGACAAAAUCAGGCUCGAGAGCCUGACCGAGGGUACUUGAAGAAAAAGCAUCGGCUAACUCCGUGCCAGCAGCCGCGGUAAUACGGAGGAUGCGAGCGUUAUCCGGAUUUAUUGGGUUUAAAGGGUGCGUAGGCGGACUGUUAAGUCAGAAGUGAAAGCCCGGGGCUUAACUCCGGGACUGCUUUUGAAACUGUUGA